rnacentral:rRNA from 1 species
ACGGGAGGCAGCAGUGGGGAAUAUUGCGCAAUGGGGGGAACCCUGACGCAGCAACGCCGCGUGCGGGAAGAAGGUCUUCGGAUUGUAAACCGUUGUCGCAGGGGAAGAAGACAGUGACGGUACCCUGUGAGAAAGUCACGGCUAACUACGUGCCAGCAGCCGCGGUAAUACGUAGGUGACAAGCGUUGUCCGGAUUUACUGGGUGUAAAGGGCGCGUAGGCGGGACAGCAAGUCAGGAGUGAAAUACCGAGGCUCAACCUCGGGGCUGCUUUUGAAACUGUUGUUCUUGAGUAUCGGAGAGGAAAGCGGAAUUCCCAGUGUAGCGGUGAAAUGCGUAGAUAUUGGGAGGAACACCAGUGGCGAAGGCGGCUUUCUGGACGACAACUGACGCUGAGGCGCGAAAGUGUGGGGAGCAAACAGGAUUAGAUACCCUGGUA